rnacentral:rRNA from 1 species
UAGUUGGAUUUGGGUCGACCGGGCCGCCGGGCCGCCGCCCCCGCGCGGCGAGUUCCCGUGUGUCCCCGGGACCGCACGUUCACCCCCGCGGUGCUCUUGACUGAGUGUCCGCGGUAGCGGGUGACCGAACGUUUACCUUGACAAAACCGGAGUGCUCGAGGCGUGGGCGUUUUCCGCCCGUACGUCCUCGCUGGGAAUAAUGGAAGAGGACCGUUGGUCAAAAAAGGUUUUUUGUCAAGAGAGGCGGAGAGCAAAAAAGGAGGUUGCGGUGGCGGGGGGUCAAAAGGGAAGGCGACUUCCUUUCCCCCUCUGCCUUUCCUCCUUCUCCUCCUCGAAACCUUCCUCCCCGCGUCCCGCGCCGGGACUCGGUCGGUGUCCGUCGGCGGGAAAGGGUGGUCCGAGAAAGAAGAGCGGAAACGGGCGGUCGUUUGUCGGAAGGCGAAAGCCGGACGGCCGAUCGUCCGAAGAAACUCGGAAUCUCGUUCCGCUCCGACUGUCGCGGCCUUUCCGUUUGUUCUCGGCGUCAGCGGGAGGAGGUCGAAAAUCAAAAUAAAAAUAACGUGUCAUGAUUAAGAGGGACGGCCGGGGGCAUUCGUACCGCGGCGCGAGAGGUGAAAUUCUAGGACCGUCGCGAGACGAACGAUAGCGAAAGCAUUUGCCAAGAAUGUUUUCCUUAAUCAAGAACGAAAGUCGGAGGUUCGAAGGCGAUCAGAUACCGCCCUAGUUCCGACCUUAAACCAUGCCGUCCGACCGCCCGCCAGGGUUACUACCGCGACUCGGCGGGCGGUGUCUUUCCACCGGGAAACCCUUAAGCUUUCGGGUUCCGGGGGAAGUACGGUCGCAAAGCUGAAACUUAAAGGAAUUGACGGAAGGGCACCACCAGGAGUGGAGCCUGCGGCUUAAUUUGACUCAACACGGGGAACCUCACCCGGCCCGGACACCGCGAGGAUUGACAGAUCGAUAGCUCUUUCUCGAUCCGGUGGGUGGUGGUGCAUGGCCGUUCUUAGUUGGUGGAGCGAUCUGUCUGGUUAAUUCCGAUAACGAACGAGACUCUAGCCGGUUAAGUAGCCCGAGUGGCGUGUUGUUGACCUAAAAACCGCCCCGGCGACGAGCGGGGUUCUUUCUCGGAGCGGUCUGGUUUGAGCGGCGAUGGGGAGAGAGCGGCGGUGGGAGAUGACGGUUCUGGCCGCGCGGGAGUCUCUUCGGAGGCGCCUUCACCGCGGCUCGUGUCCAGAGUCUUUCGCCUAAACUUUCGCUCCGUCUCGUUUUGGACCUCUCAGCUUUCUUGAAACCUCCGUUUCGCUCGUCCGGGGUAGAAAAACGCUAACGAGAGUCGGGGGAGUGGUCGAUACUUGUGGAACGGGUAGGCGUACCUCACGGUGUGUCUCCCUUCCCGUUCUUCCGCUUUCCUCGUCGUCUCGCGCCACCGGCUUUCGAGUGCAAAAGCUUCUUAGAGGGACGAGCGGCGUUCAGCCGCGCGAGAUUGAGCGAUAACAGGUCUGUGAUGCCCUUAGAUGUCCGGGGCCGCACGCGCGCUACACUGAAGGGGUCAACGCGCCGUCACGUUUCCCGGGCCGAAAGGCUCGGGGAACCGGUGGAACCCCGACGUAGCGUUCGUGCUAGGGACAGGGACUUGCAAUUGUGUCCCUCCAACGAGGAAUUCCCAGUAGGCGCGAGUCAUCAGCUCGCGCCGAUUACGUCCCUGCCCUUUGUACACACCGCCCGUCGCUACUACCGAUCGAACGAUUUAGCGAGGUCUUCGGACCGGCGGCCGAAGGUGCGCAAGCGCCGGUGG